rnacentral:rRNA from 1 species
GAUGAACGCUGGCGGUAUGCUUAACACAUGCAAGUCGAACGGGGUUCAUAGUCACCUAGUGGCGGACGGGUGCGUAACGCGUGAGAAUCUGGCCUCAGGUCCGGGACAACCACGGGAAACGGUGGCUAAUACCGGAUGUGCCAUAUUGGUGAAAGAUUAAUUGCCUGAGGAUGAGCUCGCGUCUGAUUAGCUAGUUGGUGGGGUAAAGGCUUACCAAGGCGACGAUCAGUAACUGGUCUGAGAGGAUGACCAGUCACACUGGGACUGAGACACGGCCCAGACUCCUACGGGAGGCAGCAGUGGGGAAUUUUCCGCAAUGGGCGAAAGCCUGACGGAGCAAUACCGCGUGAGGGAGGAAGGCUCUUGGGUUGUAAACCUCUUUUCUCAGGGAAGAAGAAUGACGGUACCUGAGGAAUCAGCAUCGGCUAACUCCGUG